UAACACAUGCAAGUUGAGCGAUUUACUUCGGUAAAGAGCGGCGGACGGGUGAGUAACGCGUGGGUAACCUACCCUGUACACACGGAUAACAUACUGAAAGGUAUGCUAAUACGGGAUAAUAUAUUUGAGAGGCAUCUCUUGAAUAUCAAAGGUGAGCCAGUACAGGAUGGACCCGCGUCUGAUUAGCUAGUUGGUAAGGUAACGGCUUACCAAGGCGACGAU
rnacentral:rRNA from 1 species